rnacentral:tRNA from 1 species
UCCCUGGUAGCUCAGUGGUAAAGAAUCUGCUUGCCAACGCAGGAGACUCAGGUUCGAUUCCUGGUCCGGGAA